rnacentral:tRNA from 1 species
GCCUUGGUGGCGGAACUGGUAGACGCGCACGACUCAAAAUCGUGUUUCCUCGGAAGUGCCGGUUCGAUUCCGGCCCAAGGCA